GGUAUGGUUACUGCAGUUGGUUGGUACCAUUGCUAUAUCUACCUGUAGCUGUUGUGCUAUUUCUGAAGUUGCUUUGUUUCCUGAAUUAUUUUGGUAUUGUUUCUUGAAGUUGAGGAAAUUUUGUUGCUGUUAUGACCUGGUGAUGUGGAGCAAGGUAUCCAAGUCUGGUGCUUCCAUGAGGUACCCAGGUUCCCAUGGUUCAGGCAUGAAAGUGGCUAUCCGUUAAGCGGGAUCAAGUGUUAUUAUGUGUGUUGUCUCUUAGGUCUGUUUCAAGUGCUAUUAUGUGUGUUAUCUGCUAUCUUAUUCAUGUGCCAAUGAGAUAAUUUU